GACGAACGCUGGCGGCGUGCCUAACACAUGCAAGUCGAACGGAAAGGCCCUGCUUUUGUGGGGUGCUCGAGUGGCGAACGGGUGAGUAACACGUGAGUAACCUGCCCUUGACUUUGGGAUAACUUCAGGAAACUGGGGCUAAUACCGGAUAGGAGCUCCUGCUGCAUGGUGGGGGUUGGAAAGUUUCGGCGGUUGGGGAUGGACUCGCGGCUUAUCAGCUUGUUGGUGGGUAGUGGCUUACCAAGGCUUUGACGGGUAGCCGGCCUGAGAGGGUGACCGGCCACAUUGGGACUGAGAUACGGCCCAGACUCCUACGGGAGGCAGCAGUGGGGAAUAUUGCACAAUGGGCGGAAGCCUGAUGCAGCAACGCCGCGUGCGGGAUGACGGCCUUCGGGUUGUAAACCGCUUUCGCCUGUGACGAAGCGUGAGUGACGGUAAUGGGUAAAGAAGCACCGGCUAACUACGUG
rnacentral:rRNA from 1 species